UACGUAGGGUGCGAGCGUUACUCGGAAUUACUGGGCGUAAAGCGUGCGCAGGCGGUUCGUUGUGUCCGGUGUGAAAGCCCCGGGCUCAACCUGGGAAUGGCAGUGGAAACUAGGGGACUGGAAUCUGGCAGAGGGGGGUGGAAUGCCGCGUGUAGCAGUGAAAUGCGUAGAGAUGCGGCGGAACACCGAUGGCGAAGGCAGCCCCCUGGGCUGAGAUUGACGCUCAGGCACGAAAGCGUGGGGAGCAAACAGG
rnacentral:rRNA from 1 species